CAGCCAGACUCCUACGGGAGGCAGCAGUGGGGAAUAUUGCACAAUGGGGGAAACCCUGAUGCAGCGACGCCGCGUGAGUGAAGAAGUAUUUCGGUAUGUAAAGCUCUAUCAGCAGGGAAGAAAAUGACGGUACCUGACUAAGAAGCCCCGGCUAACUACGUGCCAGCAGCCGCGGGAAUACGUAGGGGGCAAGCGUUAUCCGGAUUUACUGGGUGUAAAGGGAGCGUAGACGGCUGUGCAAGCCAGAUGUGAAAGCCCGGGGCUCAACCCCGGGACUGCAUUUGGAACUGUGUGGCUGGAGUGUCGGAGAGGCAGGCGGAAUUCCUAGUGUAGUGGUGAAAUGCGUAGAUAUUAGGGGGAACACCAGUGGCGAAGGCGGCCUGCUGGACGAUGACUGACGUUGAGGCUCGAAAGCGUGGGGAGCAAACAGGAUUAGAUACCCGAGUAUA
rnacentral:rRNA from 1 species